AUUGAACGCUAGCGGCAUGCCUUACACAUGCAAGUCGAACGGUAACAGGUCUUCGGAUGCUGACGAGUGGCGAACGGGUGAGUAAUACAUCGGAACGUGCCUAGUAGUGGGGGAUAACUACUCGAAAGAGUGGCUAAUACCGCAUGAGAUCUACGGAUGAAAGCAGGGGAUCGCAAGACCUUGUGCUACUAGAGCGGCCGAUGGCAGAUUAGGUAGUUGGUGGGAUAAAAGCUUACCAAGCCGACGAUCUGUAGCUGGUCUGAGAGGACGAUCAGCCACACUGGGACUGAGACACGGCCCAGACUCCGACGGGAGGCAGCAGUGGGGAAUUUUGGACGAUGGGCGAAAGCCUGAUCCAGCAAUGCCGCGUGCAGGAUGAAGGCCUUCGGGUUGUAAACUGCUUUUGUACGGAACGAAAAGCCCCGGGUUAAUACCCUGGGGUCAUGACGGUACCGUAAGAAUAAGCACCGGCUAACUACGUGCCAGCCGCCGCCGUAA
rnacentral:rRNA from 1 species